GAUGAACGCUGGCGGCGUGCCUAAUACAUGCAAGUCGAGCGAACGGACGAGAAGCUUGCUUUUCUGAUGUUAGCGGCGGACGGGUGAGUAACACGUGGAUAACCUACCUAUAAGGCUGGGAUAACUUCGGGAAACCGGAGCUAAUACCGGAUAAUAUUUUGAACCGCAUGGUUCAAAAGUGAAAGACGGUCUUGCUGUCACUUAUAGAUGGAUCCGCGCUGCAUUAGCUAGUUGGUAAGGUAACGGCUUACCAAGGCAACGAUGCAUAGCCGACCUGAGAGGGUGAUCGGCCACACUGGAACUGAGACACGGUCCAGACUCCUACGGGAGGCAGCAGUAGGGAAUCUUCCGCAAAGGGCGAAAGCCUGACGGAGCAACGCCGCGUGAGUGAUGAAGGUCUUCGGAUCGUAAAACUCUGUUAUUAGGGAAGAACAUAUGUGUAAGUAACUGUGCACAUCUUGACGGUACCUAAUCAGAAAGCCACGGCUAACUACGUG
rnacentral:rRNA from 1 species